AAGGCUUAAAAAUCUUCUAAUAAAGUCACGGUGAUUGGGCCUGUUCUUCUCCCAAUCGCCGCGACUCAAGUUAGCGACUGAAAAAAGCACUGGAUUUAUCUAAUUAGUGUCGCUAAAGUUAAAGCAGCGACAGAUAAAAAAAAGGCAACGGCAUUAAAUUCGAAAAAGAGAUGUCGCCGGUGAACGCUGGUUUUUUCAGCGACUUCAUCUCCAUCGUUUAUAAAACUAAAGUUGUCGCUGGUUUUCUCUGCCAGCUGUAUUAUGAGCCUAUUCUUUUAAUUAUAAAGCAUUUAAACCUCUAUUUUUCUGGUCGCUGUCGCUAAUUGAGCGAUUGAGGAAAGAACAGGCCCUAAAAGAUUGAUUUACUUCCAAAACUGUAAAUUAAUAUAU
rnacentral:sRNA from 1 species